rnacentral:rRNA from 1 species
CAGAGGUGGCAAGCGUUGUUCGGAAUUACUGGGCGUAAAGGGCGCGUAGGCGGCCAUCUAAGUCAGACGUGAAAUCCCCCGGCUUAACCUGGGAACUGCGUCUGAUACUGGACGGCUCGAGUUUGGGAGAGGGAUGUGGAAUUCCAGGUGUAGCGGUGAAAUGCGUAGAUAUCUGGAGGAACACCGGUGGCGAAGGCGGCAUCCUGGACCAACACUGACGCUGAGGCGCGAAAGCUAGGGGAGCAAACGGGAUUAGAUACCCCGGUAGUCCUAGCCCUAAACGAUGAAUGCUUGGUGUGGCGGGUAUCGAUCCCUGCCGUGCCGAAGCUAACGCAUUAGGCAUUCCGCCUGGGGAGUACGGUCGCAAGGCUG